rnacentral:tRNA from 2 species
GCCGCCGUAGCUCAGUGGUAGAGCGCACCCUUGGUAAGGGUGAGGUCGCAAGUUCGAUCCUCGCCGGCGGCACCA